rnacentral:rRNA from 1 species
UACGUAGGUGACUAGCGUUGUCCGGAUUUACUGGGCGUAAAGAGCGCGCAGGCGGUCGUUCAAGUCGAGUGUGAAAGCCCCCGGCUCAACUGGGGAGGGUCAUUCGAUACUGAUCGACUCGAAGGCAGGAGAGGGAAGCGGAAUUCCCGGUGUAGUGGUGAAAUGCGUAGAUAUCGGGAGGAACACCGGUGGCGAAGGCGGUUCUCUGGGCAUUACCUGACGCUGAGGAGCGAAAGUGUGGGGAGCGAACAGG